rnacentral:rRNA from 1 species
UACGGGGGGAGCAAGCGUUGUUCGGAUUUACUGGGCGUAAAGGGCGCGUAGGCGGCCAGCACAAGUCAGUUGUGAAAUCUCCGAGCUUAACUCGGAACGGUCAACUGAUACUGUGCGGCUAGAGUGCGGAAGGGGCAACUGGAAUUCUUGGUGUAGCGGUGAAAUGCGGUAGAUAUCAAGAGGAACACCUGCGGCGAAGGCGGGUUGCUGGGCCGACACUGACGCUGAGGCGACGGAAAGCCCAGGGAGGCGAACGGG